AAAUGAAUUGACGGGGGCCCGCACAAGCGGAGGAACAUGUGGUUUAAUUCGAUGAUACGCGAGGAACCUUACCCGGGCUCGAACGGUCGAUGCAUAUGGAUGAAAGUUCAUAGUCGCAAGACAUCGGUCGAGGUGCUGCAUGGUUGUCGUCAGCUCGUGCCGUGAGGUGUCGGCUUAAGUGCCAUAACGAGCGCAACCCUUACCGUUAGUUACCAUCAAGUAAAGUUGGGGACUCUAGCGGGACUGCCACCGUAAGGUGUGAGGAAGGUGGGGAUGACGUCAAAUCAGCACGGCCCUUACGUCCGGGGCUACACACGUGUUACAAUGGGGGGCACAAAGGGCAGCUACCACGCGAGUGGAUGCCAAUCUUAAAAAACCCCUCCCAGUUCGGAUUGGAGUCUGCAACCCGACUCCAUGAAGCUGGAUUCGCUAGUAAUCGCGCAUCAGCCAUGGCGCGGUGAAUACGUUCCCGGGCCUUGCACACACCGCCCGU
rnacentral:rRNA from 1 species